rnacentral:rRNA from 1 species
UACAGAGGGUGCAAGCGUUGUUCGGAAUUACUGGGCGUAAAGGGCUCGUAGGUGGCCAACUAAGUCGGACGUGAAAUCCCUCAGCUUAACUGGGGAACUGCGUCCGAUACUGGAUGGCUUGAGUUUGGGAGAGGGAUGCGGAAUUCCAGGUGUAGCGGUGAAAUGCGUAGAUAUCUGGAGGAACACCGGUGGCGAAGGCGGCAUCCUGGACCAACACUGACACUGAGGAGCGAAAGCCAGGGGAGCAAACGGG